UCGCCAAAGUUUUCCCUCGGCUUCCUCAAAACCGCCGCGAGCCCCGCUGCGCCCGCCCGCACCUGCCCCCUCGGCGGGUCCUACCUUGGCUGAGCAGGAAGCAGCAGAGCAGGAGCAGGAGCAAAGUUGCUGGAUAUUUCUCGCUGCUGCUGCAUGGGAGCAGGGAACCAGGCGCACACGAAGCUAGGAAGGAGACUGCAGCCCUGUUGCGUCCUCUAAUGUCUCCAGCUUGUAGCUACCAGCCUCAGGGCCAUUUCCAUCCCUCAGGGAAUGGAUUGCCCUGUCCAAGAAGCAGCCGAAAGCAGAUGAAUCAUGAACACAACUGUACCGGUGCAGUUUUACAAGCGACCUGGUUGGGACUCUGUAAGAACGGGGAAUCUAGAGAGUGGCUGGGUCGAAAACGCUAAGCCCCCAACCCAACUCCCACUGAGGUCUCUGCUUCCUUUUUAUGACUUCCCCCAAUUAGAUGACACAGUUCCACCUCCUCACAGCCUAAUGAGCCACAGCUGCCAGCCCUUCUCUGCACGGGGGACAGUCUCGAAGGGCUCUCUGUUGAGAAAGCUUAACUCCUUGCUAGCCCAGACUGGCCACAUGUACCCAAGCACUGCCCUCUGCUAUGGAUAAUUACUGUAGUAUUUCUAUUGUGUGUUCACCAAGGAAGACUCCAAAGUCCUUUGCAUUCCUACCAAAAAGAAACAUGAACCAUAAUGAGAGAUCAAGUAUCCUUACUACUGGAAUGCAGCUAUUUCUGGGGUGGAACAUGACAGCUUGUAGACCAUGCACAGUUACACUGCCCAACAAUUAAGG
rnacentral:lncRNA from 1 species